UACGGGGGGGCAAGCGUUGUUCGGAAUUACUGGGCGUAAAGGGCGUGCAGGCGGUUGCGUAAGUUAGGCGUGAAAGACUUCGGCUAAACCGGGGGAGGUCGUCUGAUACUGCGCAACUAGAGUAUGGUAGAGGCGUGUAGAAUUCCGGGUGUAGUGGUGAAAUGCGCAGAUAUCAGGAGGAACACCGAUGGCGAAGGCAGUUCGUCUGGGCCGUAACUGACGCUGAGGAGCGAAAGCAUGGGGAGCGAACAGG
rnacentral:rRNA from 1 species